rnacentral:lncRNA from 1 species
CAAACAGGAAAUGCACCACAUCAUGUGUCUACAAAUAUAAAGAGGGAGAAUUCUUAAUAUUGGGUCUGGACAAAGAAUUGAAAUCUAAUUAGAGCUCAGAAUGAUUGCCAGUGUGAAGAUACUCCCUUGGAUUCCCUCCCCAAACACACAGCUGCUUGCUAGGGUUGCUCAGCUCUGAGGUUUUAAGGAGUUUUCAGGAGUCCUUGCCUGUUACUGACACCUUGCAAAGGAUGGGAAGGGGGAAACAAGAUAAACUCUUUCUGACUGAAACCUUCAGCAACUCAGCCACUCUGUCAUUAAGUCCUGUUACUUCCAAUACAGGUGUUAAUAAAUCAAAGAUAGAUUCUGAAAGGGGACAUCAAAGCCUGGCCUAAGAUGCUUUCAGCAGAAGGGUGUCCUUGACCUGCAGGUGGACACAGCACAUGAUGGUUUUUAACCCUCACAAGGAU